rnacentral:rRNA from 1 species
GUAGGUGGCAAGCGUUAUCCGGAAUCAUUGGGCGUAAAGGGUGCGUAGGUGGCACGAUAAGUCUGAAGUAAAAGGCAACAGCUCAACUGUUGUAUGCUUUGGAAACUGUCGAGCUAGAGUGCAGAAGAGGGCGAUGGAAUUCCAUGUGUAGCGGUAAAAUGCGUAGAUAUAUGGAGGAACACCAGUGGCGAAGGCGGUCGCCUGGUCUGUAACUGACACUGAUGCACGAAAGCGUGGGGAGCAAAUAGGAUUAGAUACCCUAGUAGUCCACGCCGUAAACGAUGAGAACUAAGUGUUGGAGAGAUUCAGUGCUGCAGUUAACGCAAUAAGUUCUCCGCCUGGGGAGU